UCUUGAUUUUGUGGGAUUUUUUAAAAUUUUCUCAUCAAUGGAUGCCCUUUGGGUAUUUUUGAGAUUAAUAAUGCUAAUAAUAUGCCCUAAGUAGUUAACAGAAUCUUGUUACUUACAGUAGCUAUAUUUGAAAUGUGAAUUUCUGAAUAGAAUUUUAUAUGAAAUAAGUAAUACUGGAGUUGUUAACCUGUCGUGUCUGAAGUAAUGAGUAAAACUAACCAUAAGCAUAGGUAUCAUUGAAAUGAAAUAAAUAGGAUCUAAAAAUUCAGUUGUGAGAUAAAGAGGUUAUCUUGGGAUACGGAAUCUGUGGAAUAUGGAGCCCUGACUCAUUCUCCAAACAAUACGGAAUUUUGUCUACUAGCAUAACACUUGAGAACAAGAGCUGGGCUAAGCAUAGGAAGCAAUCACUAGUUAAUUCAUAUUUAAAUAAAUUUUUUGAAGUAUGUUUGAACAAUGAGCCAAAAUUUGAGAAAUAUUAGCCACUUUUCUUCAUGAAUAUGGGAUUCUACAGAUCAUCUUAAUUUCAGGCAGAUCAUUUAUACAACAGUGAAGACAUUAACCUACUUUACUGGCUGGUUGUGAAGAACAGCUGAUAUUCUUGACUGACAAACACUCACUGAUAAAAAUUGCUAAGGAAAUCCUUGAUAAUUUACAGAUUGUAGACCCAACCCUACACUCAGUGUUGUCCUGUACUGAAUGAUUAAAUUGGGUUCAGUCUAAAUUUCAAAUAUAUAUACACACAUACAUAUUAUAUAGUUUGCAUAUAUAUAUAUUUAUAUAUACCUUUGAAAUCACUAGAAAUUUGACUUGAUACAUGAUUCUUAAAUUGUGAAUAAGUAAUCUGGGACUAAUAAAUGCAGGCUUUGUAGAUAGGUCA
rnacentral:lncRNA from 1 species